GAUGAACGCUAGCUACAGGCUUAACACAUGCAAGUCGAGGGGCAGCAUGAUUGAAGCUUGCUUCAAUCGAUGGCGACCGGCGCACGGGUGAGUAACACGUAUCCAACCUGCCGAUAACUCGGGGAUAGCCUUUCGAAAGAAAGAUUAAUACCCGAUAGUAUAGUAUUUCCGCAUGGUUUCACUAUUAAAGAACUUCGGUUAUCGAUGGGGAUGCGUUCCAUUAGAUAGUUGGCGGGGUAACGGCCCACCAAGUCAACGAUGGAUAGGGGUUCUGAGAGGAAGGUCCCCCAAAUUGGAACUGAGACACGGUCCAAACUCCUACGGGAGGCAGCAGUGAGGAAUAUUGGUCAAUGGACGAGAGUCUGAACCAGCCAAGUAGCGUGAAGGAUGACUGCCCUAUGGGUUGUAAACUUCUUUUAUACGGGAAUAAAGUGGAGUAGGCAUACUCCUUUGUAUGUACCGUAUGAAUAAGGAUCGGCUAACUCCGUG
rnacentral:rRNA from 1 species